rnacentral:rRNA from 1 species
AUGGCGAUCCGACACUACUGGUCGAUGGCUGUCGCAGCCGUUGGGUUCCGCCUCGUUCUGGUGCUCUUCGGCGGAGACCUCCACCUUGCAUCCCGCCCGGAGGUCUCCACCCCCCUCACGUCCCUCCGCCGCCUGGCAGAAGGUUACUGGCUGAAGCAGGCGUCCAUGUCACCCUAUUCCGGUUCGAUGUAUCAUGGUUCCCCUUUGCUUCUAUCAGUUCUUGGUCCGCUAACCAGCAAAAGGUCAGGUGGACACCAUUCUCAUAUAUAUUGCAGUUUGGUUUUUGUGGCUGUAGAUUUUAUAGCUGCUAUGCUCAUUCGAUCAACUGGGCGUACACUCCAAAUGGCACGUAACAGAAGUUUGAAGUCUCUUGACCUCAGAAAAUCAGUGAACAAUUCUGUGAACGUAAGCGCAGGAGACACUGCUUCUCUAAUAUAUCUGUGGAAUCCUUGGACAAUAAUCACCUGUGUGGGUUCAUGUACAUCACCAAUUGAGAAUUUAAUGGUCGUGAUAAUGUUACAUGGAGCCUGUUCACGUCUUGCGCCGCUUGCUGCAUUUGGAUAUGUUAUGGCAACACACCUUUCUCUUUAUCCUGCAAUUCUCAUUCUACCUGUUGCUCUUUUAUUGGGUUAUGGUCCAGAUACUCCUCCAACUAAAGUAUUUCUUCAAAAAGGCUUGAGUGCCAAUAAAAUUGACAUGUCAGAUAAUGGAAAAGGUACUAGCCAAAAAGGUUUUGGACAAUUCUCAUGGAAACCAAUACUUCACUUCAUAUUGUGGGUGUUUAUCUGGUCAUGUUAUGUGCUGUUAUUGAACAGCAUUAUUCUAAAUAAAGUGGGUGGCCUUCAGGAGAUGUUUGAAAAGACAUAUGGUUUUAUCCUUACAGUGAAAGAUUUAUCACCAAAUAUUGGUGUGUUAUGGUAUUUCUUUGCCGAAGUCUUCGACUUCUUCAGAAGCUUCUUUCUUAUAGUCUUUAAUAUGAACAUCAUUUUUAUGGUCUUGCCAUUGGCUAUCCGUUUGAAGCAUCGGCCGUGCUUCCUUGCCUUUGUUUACACAGCAAUUGUCGCAAUGCUGAAAUCUUAUCCCUCGGCUGGAGAUUCAGCUCUAUAUCUAGGACUUCUAGGCCUAUUCGCCAAUGAAUUAGCGGAGAUGCAGUUCACCUUCUUCUUGUUUUUUGGAUAUAUUGGAGUCUCUCUCCUUAGCCCUGUCAUGCAUAACCUAUGGAUCUGGAGGGGUACUGGUAACGCAAAUUUCUACUUCGCGACUGGUUUAGCUUAUACCUGCCUUCAGACCGUGUUGGUUGUAGAGACUGUAAGUUCAAUGAUAAAGCAUGACAGGAAACUAAGGCUACUUACAAAAGCCUAA